rnacentral:rRNA from 1 species
CACUGCUCUGACGGAUGCUUUUAUUAGACCAAGCCGCUGAGGACUUGAGGGCUUGCUCUCCUGUCUGACUCGUGUAAUGGUGACUCUGGAUAACCAAAUUUCUGACAAGCGCACGUACUUCUCUUCUGAGCGAGACGGCGCUGCCACUUUCGAGUGUCUGCCUUAUCAGCUAUCAACCGUUCGUUAUGCGCGACCGAUGGCUUUGACGGGUAACGGGGAAUCAGGGUUCGAUUCCGGAGAGGCAGCCUGAGAGACGGCUACCACGUCCAAGGACGGCAGCAGGCACGCAAAUUACCCAAUCCCAGCAAAUGGGGGAGGUAGUGACGAAAUCUAACGAUGCGGGCGCCCUUUCUGGGGCCCCGCAAUCGGAAUGGGCACUUUCUAAACAACCUGUUGAGAACCUACUGAAGGGCAAGUCUGGUGCCAGCAGCCGCGGUAAUUCCAGCUUCAGCAGCAUCUAUUAAAGUUGCUGCGGUUAAAAGGCUCGCAGUUGAAUGUCUGUAUCGAGCGCAGGUCAGGUGGACGUUGGGGCGUGGAAGUACGGGCAGUUGGAUGUCCGGAGGGCCUUCGUGUUCAACGGCUCCUUCGGCUUUUCCACACACCCCCGUCCGUGACAAGCCUCCUCGCUCGGGUACAUAACGGGAAUCGGUCAAACGGAGUGUGGUCGGGGGUUGGGGCGCGUGGCCUCGGUUGCGUGUCUCUUCUUUCGGCUGCGUUAAGCUCCAUCGGUUUCACGGUCACCUUGAGUAAAUCAGAGUGCUCAAAGCAGUCGUAGGGGCCUUGCGCCCUGUGAACAGUCUUGACGGACUGACUUGGUUUUGCAUGGCAUGUCGGAAGACGACGUCGUGUGCUGGCUCAGAGGAUAAAUCAGUGGUACAAGCCAGCCUCGACGUAAUGAUUAAAAGGGACGGUCGAGGGCAUUGGUAUUGCGAGGCGAGAGGUGAAAUUCUGUGACCCCCGCAAGACCUCCUGAAGCGAAAGCGUCUGCCAAGGACGUUUUCAUUAAUCAUGAACGAAAGUUAGAGGAUCGAAGGCGAUCAGAUACCGCCCUAGUUCUAACCCUAAACGAUGCCAACCAUCAAUCCGCGCGUAGCACCCUUCUUAACGGGCUCGGCGGGCAGCUCCCCACUCACGGGAAACCAGAGCCUCUGGGUUCCGGGGGGAGUCUGGUUGCAAAGCUGAAACUUAAAGGAAUUGACGGAAAGGCACCACCAGGCGUGGAGCCUGCGGCUUAAUUUGACUCAACACGGGCCAUCUCACCAGGCCAGCACUCUUGUACGAUUGACAGAUGAGAGCUCUUUCUCGAUUCAGUGGAUGGUGGUGCAUGGCCGUUCUUAGUUGGUGGAGUGAUCUGUCUGGUUAAUUCCGAUAACGAACGAGACUCUCCCCUGCUAACUAGUCGGUUGGAUCUUGAUCAGCGGGUUGCGUGCCGAGUAACUCUCGCUGUGCGUGGUGCGUAGCUGGGCCUCACGGUUCGUUGCGUGCUCGCGUGGCGUUGGAUGCCUUGGAUCACACUGCACCCCAAGUCCGCCGCUUAUGCUAUAACUCUUCUUAGAGGGAUUCACGGCACUGAAGCCGUAAGAGACUGAGAGCAAUAACAGGUCUGUGAUGCCCUUAGAUGCUCUGGGCCGCACGCGCGCUACAAUGCCGGGCACAGCAGGUGUUUCUCCUUCUCCGACAGGAGCGGGUAACCCUCUGAAAGCCAGUGUUCUUGCAAGUGCUUCCUCCCUCGUGGAGUUGCACAGAGGCGUGCUUGGGCCUGGGACUUGCAAUUCUUUCCCACCAACGAGGAAUGCCUAGUA